rnacentral:lncRNA from 1 species
GGGCCCGCGAGGCUCUGGACUCACGUUUGAAUUUGUGGCGCGUAGUGUCCGAGGUGCGGAGUGGAGCUGGGCGUCUUGCUGGAGUCAGCAACUGGGCGGUGAGAGACCCUGAGCGGAGAAUGACCAGAGGGUCGGCCGGCGCUGGAGGGGCCCCGAGUCCAACAGGCCUCCUCGGAAUGCGGCACUUCCACCGCGCUGCUUCCCUCGCCUGAGGCAGGUCCUCUGCUCGCCUCCUCGCAGCCUCUAGAUUCUUCCCUCGCGCCGUUUUCCUCGCGUCUGAGAGACUGUGCGCCCGCCCGCUUCUGUCACCCCCGAAGGAAGGCUGCUCCUAACGCUACCUUCCGGGGUCUCUCCGCUUCCAUCCCUCCCCAGAAGCAGCCCUCCAGCGCUGACGUGUUUACGUCUCCCCCCACUAUCCUGCGCCCCCCCAUCUCUGUCAUAAUUACAGCCUCCUUCCAUCACCAACACUCUCAGAAACUUUCUCCCUGCCUCUGACUGUGGAAAAAUGUCUCCUGAGCAACCUGGUGAGCGUCCCACACCUCAGAGUCCAGAACGUUCCUCAUCAAGAAAGAGGGUGCUGCGGUCCUCCCCUUCCCGCCUGGGACGUAGCGAGGGCACGUGGAAAGCAGCGCGUGAAAGCGCUUUGCAAAGCGGUACGGAAAUGAGGUAUUGUCUCCAUUUUACAAAUGAGGAACCUGAAGCUCAGAGAGAGUUCCAAAGGAAACCUCAAGUCCGGUAUAAGCAAAACAAUUCAUGAACAAAAUGGCUGUGAGCACAUUUCAUUUGCAAGACAGCACUAGAGGGCGCUCUUCAGCAGGUCUCAAGAUUAAGAAGCAAUAUCCUGAGAUACAUCUUUCUCUGAUAGAAAUUUUGUCUUGGGAAAAGCUUUGACCAGAUCGUAGUGACAGAAAUGAGAGGCUGGGCCAGUCUUUGGCGCCUGCCCUUGGCUCAGCGCCCGGUGCCAACAGAACACCUUUCAGGAUCCACAGCAACGCAGACAACGAGUCCAGGAUCCCGGCCUCUGCUUGGAACGGAACAGUGUCAUGGCGGAGACGACGGCCUUUGUCUUGCUGGGUGUGAAAGCAUCCGCUUUGCAGGCUCCACUGCGGCAGAAUCAAGUUUAAAGGAAAAAGUGAUUAAAGUCAGCUUUGUGCCUCUUUGGUGUGGAAGACCCCCAAACCCCAAGUAGCCGAGUCCCUGGGUCCGAGGAAGGGCUCAUAGUUGGAGCAGCCUAGGCUGUAAUCCUGGCACUUGCGCCUUCGGUUGCUGCUUGCUGUUCGCUCCUGGGGGUCUGGAUAAUCUCCCUUGGCUUUACCGCACUGUCUGGCCCGCAUACAGGGCCCCCGUAACAUAUACCCGCUGCUGCUAUCGCACGAAACUGUGGCGUUGCCCCUGAAUGGAUGGCACUGUGCCAACUCUUCUGCCAUCCGCCCUUGCAGCUUUUUUCUUUCCUGCCUCCCUCCCCUUCUUCUCCUCCUCCUCCCGUCGACUUGACGUUAAUUAACACACGGGUUAAUUGAUUUUAAAAGCCGAAGAAUUACAGUUAACUUUUCCCACAG